rnacentral:rRNA from 1 species
CGUACGCUGGCGGCACGCCUUAUACAUGCAAGUCGAACGAAGUAGCAAUACUUAGUGGCAGACGGGUGAGUAACAUGUGGGUAUCUUCCCUUUGGUGAGGAAUAACACGAGGAAACUUGUGCUAAUACCUCAUAAGUCUUUACGGAGAAAGCUUUAUGCGCCAAUGGAUGAGCCCGCACUUGAUUAGUUUGUUGGUGGGGUAAUGGCCUACCAAGACUUUGAUCAAUAGCUGAUCUGAGAGGAUGAUCAGCCACAUUGGGACUGAGACACGGCCCAAACUCCUACGGGAGGCAGCAGUAGGGAAUAUUGCACAAUGGAGGAAACUCUGAUGCAGCGAUGCCGCGUGAGUGAAGAAGGCCUUUGGGUUGUAAAGCUCUUUCGUCGGGGAAGAAAAUGACGGUACCCGAAUAAGAAGGUCCGGCUAACU